rnacentral:rRNA from 1 species
UACGUAGGGUGCAAGCGUUAAUCGGAAUUACUGGGCGUAAAGCGUGCGCAGGCGGUUUUGUAAGUCUGACGUGAAAGCCCCGGGCUUAACCUGGGAAUUGCGUUGGAGACUGCAAGGCUUGAAUCUGGCAGAGGGGGGUAGAAUUCCACGUGUAGCAGUGAAAUGCGUAGAGAUGUGGAGGAACACCGAUGGCGAGGGCAGCCCCCUGGGUCAAGAUUGACGCUCAUGCACGAAAGCGUGGGGAGCAAACAGG